CGGGCGUGAGAAGCCGUGUGACGUGUUCUGUCCUCCCCCCAGCCUGCUGCAGGAGCUCCGGUCGGUGCACUGGCUGCCCCGGGAUGWCCCCACGUGCUACACCUUUCCCGGRCUGCAGCUGAAACUAAUGCAAGAGAACAGCCGUGCCCAAAGCCUGCUCAGGAGAUUCGUUGCCCUCUGUUCGUCCAUACCUGAGUUAGGGCGAGCUGACACCUGCGAGCAGCGAGCUGCRUCCCGGCUGCAGCGUCCGGGUGCCUCGGCAAAGCUGUCAGACUUCCUGAUCUGCCGGAACUUGGUUUCCGUUGUGCGGGCGGAGAUCACAGCAUUUGUCAGCAACGUCUUGCGGGCAGAAGGCGUCAGGCGGAAGGCUGUUCUCGGAGCACUCCUGGUGUCCGAUGCUGACAGCCGGCUGGUCCCCCAUCCCUCUCGGAAAGCUCUGGCUUUUGUGGUGGAAUCCGUCUUGCAGGUGACCCAGCGUAGGGGAAAGAACCAGGAGACCCAUCCUGAGCGGAGYUGUGGAGACCGAAAGCAUCCUGAGGAGAAACGUAGGGGAGUGGCAGGUAGCACGUACCCCUGCAUCUAG
ensembl:lncRNA